rnacentral:rRNA from 1 species
UACAGAGGUCUCGAGCGUUGUUCGGAUUCAUUGGGCGUAAAGGGUGCGUAGGUGGCGCUGUAAGUCGGGUGUGAAAUCCUGAGGCUUAACCUCGGAACUGCAUUCGAUACUGCGGCGCUUUGAGGACUGGAGAGGAGACUGGAAUUCAUGGUGUAGCAGUGAAAUGCGUAGAGAUCAUGAGGAAGACCAGUGGCGAAGGCGGGUCUCUGGACAGUUCCUGACACUGAGGCACGAAGGCCAGGGGGAGCAAACGGGG